UGAGCAACUCACUUCACCCUGUGCACA
rnacentral:piRNA from 1 species